rnacentral:rRNA from 1 species
AAGUCGCACGAGAACGCUUCAGCUUGCUGAAGUAAGUAAAGUGGCGCACGGGUGAGUAACGCGUGGGUAAUCUACCCUCAAAUUGGGGAUAACCCGCCGAAAGGCGGGCUAAUACCGAAUGACAUCUUGAAGACUUAUGUUUUCAGGAUCAAAGGUGGCCUCUACAUGUAAGCUAUUGUUUGGGGAUGAGCCCGCGUACCAUUAGCUUGUUGGUAGGGUAAUGGCCUACCAAGGCUACGAUGGUCAGCUGGUCUGAGAGGAUGAUCAGCCACACUGGAACUGACACACGGUCCAGACUCCUACGGGAGGCAGCAGUGAGGAAUUUUGCGCAAUGGGGGAAACCCUGACGCAGCAACGCCGCGUGAGUGAUGAAGGCUUUCGGGUCGUAAAGCUCUGUCAAGUGGGAAGAACUCAUAUGGUGUUAAUAUCUCCAUAUGUUGACGGUACCACUGAAGGAAGCACCGGCUAACUCCGUGCCAGCAGCCGCGGUAAUACGGGGGGUGCGAGCGUUAUUCGGAAUUACUGGGCGUAAAGAGCGCGUAGGCGGUCUUUUAAGUCAGGUGUGAAAGCCCCGGGGCUCAACCCCGGAAGUGCACUUGAAACUAAGAGACUUGAGUAUGGGAGAGGGAAGUGGAAUUCCUGGUGUAGCGGUGAAAUGCGUAGAUAUCAGGAGGAACAUCAGUGGCCGAAGGCGACUUCCCUGGACCCAUACUGACGCUGAGG